CUACACUACAGCCUAGUUUAUUCAGAAACUUGUCUGCUAAAGGAAUUAUGUGCCUUCUCCCCUUCUAGCUCCACUCUCUCCAGUUUCUCUUUCCUCAUUAUUGGUUUUUCCUGUUCAUGUUUUGCCUGUGCCCCUUCUUGGGUUUGCAGGGCUUCCGCAUCAUGACCACUUCCAACACCAGCUAUGCUUCCUUUUCAAGCCUCUCCUCUCCUGCAUGUGUCUUCCUAAAAUGACCUUGCUCUAUGCUAACCAGGCAUGUUCUCCAGACACAUGAACAAAAGGACUAGGAGUGGAAGAUAUUCUCAGUUUUUCAGGCAGUAUAAAUAAGACAUAAUCAACAAGUGAAAUUCCCAGCUCUGUUUGUGUACAUCUGCACCAUGUGACCUGGGUUUUCUUCUUGCAGCUGACUGGAGAACUAAGUGCUUGCUGUGUAACACAGAUUGCAUAUUUGGAAAACAAGUCCAUAUCUACAUGACUGUAUGGAUUGAGAACAGAUCUUCUGUGAUCCAAUUUUCUUAAUCUGUAAAGGAAAGAGUUAUCUUUUCCUUCUUGGAUGAGAAUCAGGAUAUGCCUUAAAACCAGCUGAAUGAAGAAAUCUGAACACAUUCCACAGUGCUUUCAAGGAAAGGGACGAAUGUAUCGCUGUUCAACCAUCUCUGCUUCCUUUCAAAAAACAAAGGGUAUCAGAGACUCUGCUUAAAUGUUGGGUACUGCAGGCUUCAGCCAAGAGGUGGCGUUAAGAUGCAAUGCAAUGUUGUCUUAGCAAUAAAAUAUUACCUGUUUUAACAGUAGUAUGCCUGAUGCUUAGAGGUACACAAACCAGUUAAGGAAACAGAAAAUACACUGUAGGUGAGCAAAGGAAUUCGACAGGAAUUCAAUUGGUCUGAGUUGGGACUGAAAAACUAGAGUAACUUAUGCCUUAAGUAAUCACUUGUAAUGUAUACCAAAGAUUCUUACACUUUGUAAAUUAGAAUGCAGCUGUGCAAAUGUGAACCAGCAGCUGGAUACAGCUACUAUUUUAGAUGUUAGGUAAGAUACUUAGACGCUUGAGGGAUUAGGACUAGAUGAUCUUUAAGGUUCCUUCCAACCCAAGCCAUCCUAUGAUUCUUAUAUUAUUGUCUUAACCGUACUUGGAAUGAUGAAUUUUUUUAGGCAUGCCUCCUCAUCAUAAAAAAGACAAGUAUUUACAAACCAAACAAAUGAAGCCAGACCUAAUUUGAAAACAAAACUAUACUCACAUUUAACACUGGAAUGCAAACUCUUUGAUGCAGAUGAGUCAACAGCAGCUGUAUUAACAAAUGAAGGUUCAGUCCAUUGAAACGCUUCUAUUCCAAAUAAUCUUACAAAAAAAGGGGUUAUAGAUGAAACUGGUGAUAUCAAGGUGUUGAAUUCCUCAUAGAAAUACGGUACUGGUAUGCAUAAUGUUAGCAGGUCUGCAAGCCAUCACAUCCUUUUUUUUCUUUUUUCCCCUAGUCAUUUAUACUGUUUUCUGUCUGUUUCCUGUUUCUUACCCAACAGUGAGCUUUCAAAACCUAGAGUAAAUGAAAUAUAAUCAAAUCAGUUGAGUUACACUAUAUUAAACUAACUGAGGGUUUGACUCCUUGUCCUCAUCUGAGUGAAAGUGCCUCAGAAGUGCUAUUGUUGAUUCAGAAUUAAACCUGGGUCUGAAUUUUGUGGUUGUAGGCCUUGUUUACUUUGGUAUAGAAAUAAGAAUUAGUGCAGUUAAUGUUAUUAACAUUCUUUUUAGUUUAUAAGUCAAAAAAAGCUGUGUACAUCUUAUUUCAACAUCAGUUGUUAGUCAGAAAAUACUUCAGGAAUGACUAGCAUGGCUGCUAUCAGUCAGAGCCUCCAAGUGAUGGUGUAACGAGAUUCAGGUUAUUCCUAGACUGAAGGGUAUCAGUUCUUGAUCAUCUGUCUAUCGGUAGAAGUUAUUUGAUUACAUGAUUACAUAGGCAUUUUUGUACACUAUGUUUUCUGUUAUUAGGUCAUUUGAUUUUUCUAUGCAAAUAGUGAAAUCAAGUGAGUUUCCAGGAACAAAGCCAUGUCACUGUACUGCUGCAUACUCUUCAGUAAGUCACGUGUCUGUAUGGGAGAUGGUAUGAAUACUGAUGGAAGUGUAUGUCUCAUGUGCUAUACCUAGAGAUAACUACAAUAUAUGGACAAAAACUAUUUUUGACUGUGAAGGAAGAAGUAAUCAGUCAGAAGCACAGUACUCCAGUUGCAUUUGAAGGACACUGACUCCAUUUUCAUCCAAAACGCUUUAGUGAUUACUGCUACAUGUCACAGCAAAUCAGAGCUUGUACAAGUGCUCCAAACAGUGUUUCAGACAUGCAGGACUAGCUACUGAUUGGAGUGAGGCCAAAUAGACUGUAUUCAAAAAGCUGCUCUACUUUAAAAAAAAAAAAAAGUGAAUAUUUAUAAGGGCACUGGAGAAAGCCUCUAAGCAACCCUGAUCAGAUUUUGCGGAGGCAUGAAGCCCUAUCAUCUGCUACGUAUCUGCAAGGAUAUGGAGCAAGUGACAACUCAGCACUUCAGCACAAGGUACGUGCAGACCUUGAUCUCCUUGCAGAAUUACAGUUCUUAGUAUCUAUGAAAGUUCAACUCUGCAAAGAGAACCUGACUGGAACGAUGAAGCAUUAUAAUAAGGAAAAAGUUUUUUUUUUAAUAUUAGAGGUUCCUGCUCUCGUGUGCUCUAAAGCUAACUUUUGAAACUAUAAUUUCAGAUGGUAAAACAUAAGAAAUAGAAAUUUUAGCCACUGGAAAUUUUGACUGGCAUCUAUGCUGAGAAGGCCUUUCCAGCUUAACUGAACUGUGCUAGAGACAUGCAAGACUGACCUGCGAAAAAAACAAAACAAAACAAAACAAACAAAAAAAAAAACUAAAAAACAAACCCAACUGAAAUCUGUUUUGGAACAAAGCACUUGGCUUCUUUUAUGCCAAGAAUAUCUUCUGUGUAUUUUCUUUUGAGCUUUAAGAAUGUAAUAAACAACUGAAGAAGCA